CCAAAGGCUCUUUUAAGAGCCACCACCUCUUCCUAAGGGGAGCUG
rfam:Ophiophagus hannah scaffold88697.1, whole genome shotgun sequence.